rnacentral:rRNA from 1 species
UCUGUAGGCGGUGCGGCAAGUCGAUAGUGAAAUCCCUAGGCUUAACCUAGGGGCUGCUAGCGAAACUGCCGUGCUAGAGUGUGAGAGAGGCGAGUGGAAUUACGGGUGUAGCGGUGAAAUGCGUAGAUAUCCGUAGGAACAUCCGAGGCGAAAGCGGCUCGCUGGAUCACAACUGACGCUGAUAGACGAAAGCUAGGGGAGCAAACA